UCGAGCGGUAACAUUUCUAGCUUGCUAGAAGAUGACGAGCGGCGGACGGGUGAGUAAUGCUUGGGAAUAUGCCUUAGGGUGGGGGACAACAGUUGGAAACGACUGCUAAUACCGCAUAACGUCUACGGACCAAAGGGGGCUUCGGCUCUCGCCCUUAGAUUAGCCCAAGUGGGAUUAGCUAGUUGGUGAGGUAAUGGCUCACCAAGGCGACGAUCCCUAGCUGGUUUGAGAGGAUGAUCAGCCACACUGGAACUGAGACACGGUCCAGACUCCUACGGGAGGCAGCAGUGGGGAAUAUUGCACAAUGGGCGCAAGCCUGAUGCAGCCAUGCCGCGUGUGUGAAGAAGGCCUUAGGGUUGUAAAGCACUUUCAGUAAGGAGGAAAGGUUAGUAGUUAAUACCUGCUAGCUGUGACGUUACUUACAGAAGAAGCACCGGCUAACUCCGUGCCAGCAGCCGCGGUAAUACGGAGGGUGCGAGCGUUAAUCGGAAUUACUGGGCGUAAAGCGUACGCAGGCGGUUUGUUAAGCGAGAUGUGAAAGCCCCGGGCUCAACCUGGGAACUGCAUUUCGAACUGGCAAACUAGAGUAUGAUAGAGGGUGGUAGAAUUUCAGGUGUAGCGGUGAAAUGCGUAGAGAUCUGAAGGAAUACCGAUGGCGAAGGCAGCCACCUGGGUCAAUACUGACGCUCAUGUACGAAAGCGUGGGAGCAAACGGGAUUAGAUACCCCGGUAGUCCACGCCGUAAACGAUGUCUACUA
rnacentral:rRNA from 1 species